UAUAGAUCAGUGCUAAGAUGAGCGAGCGCGCGAGGGUGCUUGGGGAGGACACGACCCUGCGCGCUUGCUCAUCUUAGCCACUGAUCUAUAUA